rnacentral:rRNA from 1 species
UACGUAGGGUGCAAGCGUUUGUCCGGAAUUAUUGGGCGUAAAGAGCUCGUAGGCGGUCUGUUGCGUCGGCUGUGAAAACCCGGGGCUCAACUCCGGGCCUGCAGCCGAUACGGGCAGACUAGAGUUCGGCAGGGGAGACUGGAAUUCCUGGUGUAGCGGUGAAAUGCGUAGAUAUUGGGAAGAACACCGGUGGCGAAGGCGGCCAUCUGGACCGGCACUGACGCUGAGGCGCGAAAGCGUGGGGAGCAAACAGG